GCUCUCCGUCCCCCCCUGCAGGAGGCCGGGGGAACUACAGCCAGACCCCCUGGUGAGGAGGGGGGGGGGGCCGGGGGAACUACAGCCAGACCCCUGGUGAGGAGGGGGGCCGGGGGAACCACAGCCAGUCCCCUUGGAGAGGAGGGGGAGGGGCCCGGUAGGGGGAGGGGCCCGGUAGGGGGGAGGGGCCAGGCUGUGCGGCGUAGAAUGAGGAAGAGGAGGAGGAAGGUUUUCUCCUGCGCUCAGUCUUCCUGUGGCACUUCCUGUGAACCGAGAAGGGGGCGGAGACAAGUGAGUGUUGGAGGGGCGUGUCUUCCCCAGGUGAGUGUGGGAGGGGCGUGUCUUCCCCAGGUGAGUGUAGGAGGGGCGUGUCCUCCCGAGGUGGGUGUGGGAGGGGCGUGUCUUCCCGAGGUGGGUGUUUGAGGGGCGUGUCUUCAGGUGACUGUCUUGUGUCGUGCUCUGUGAUUGGUGAAAAGGACCCAUCAAGCACCGCCUCCCCAAACAGCAGCCUCUCUGAUUGGCUGUGGUGGGCCGCUGGGGGGCCUGAGAGGGGGUCCCGCCUCCCUAGCGACUGGCCGUCGCCGUGGGAGACGCCGGGCCCUGGAAACGGGGGG
ensembl:lncRNA